GCGAAAUAGCCAAGUGGUAAGGCGGCUGACCGCAAAUCAGCCAUUCGUAGGUUCGAUUCCUACUUUCGC
rnacentral:tRNA from 1 species